UGGCGGGUGCACACCCACCUGCUUGUAUUGGUCAGCGCGCCCGGCUUUCCCUCCCUCGGGACUCCUGGAGGAUCUCUGGUAGCCAAUGCUGGCUUUUCCUCUACUUAAGUUACAGGCAGCCCUUUUGGUUGUCCAUACUACCCGUACUCAAGAUGCAGCUUGAUUAUUAAUAAUAAACAUAUUCGCGGACCCGCUAAAAGUCAGAAAGAACACAAGAAACUCUUAAGGGUCUGUAUAAAAUGAGGAAUUUGUCUCCUUUACAUUUCUAUGACUCUGGAUUAAUGUAUUUGGGAUCACGUUGUGGAUUCAGUGAUUCAGGUAAAGGCAAAACACGCAAUGGUAAUGCUUUUAUCUGGUAACUUUUUUUUUAACUACAGCUUGGACAGACUGUAGUACAGAAAUGCAUUAAGCAUACUAAAAUAACAAAAACUGAUUAGGCCUUUGGAGUUACAUCCACGAGUUUGCUUUAAGUUGUGUGAGUAAACAUUAUUAUUCUUGAAUUGAACAGUGAAAACUAUCUUCUGUUCUAAACAAAGCCCACACUCUAUGUGGACCUCCAAAGCUUACAACCAUUGUUGACUUGAACAACAGUAUCACAAGCCUUUAAAAAGCCUAAUAAACCAUCUGUCCAUCUACUUUUACACAAAUUGGGAAACAGAAAACAGUGAAUGCAGAAAGCUGAAAAUGAGAAUUCCUAACUGCAAAUGAAUCUUGUAAAUCCUAUUCCACAGAAUAAAAUAUUGUGAAAACCCCAAAGCCUAGGAGCUACCAAUUCAUCAAUCUGGAAGAAGAGUCAUAUAAUUUUAUAAAUGAAUCAUCUAGUUCUUAAGAUCACCUGGAGUCUAAUUUUUUUCAUUUUGCUGAUUGAGAUCUGAAGUCCAGAGAAGGGCAUAGAGGAACCAAGCUGCAACUGACCUGAAAACUUCCUCUCUUCUGGCUAGCUAUCAUGGUGCUAGAAGAUACUUUGCAGGCUAAUAGGGGAGAAAGGUAUUACCCACCAGUUAACUCUGAAUGCUACAAUGCCAGGUAAGAUGUGUCAACUGAUAUAAUAGUAGCAAGAAGGAAUGGUUGUAAUGAACUGCUUUCUGAUUGGAUUUGAGGCCUGUUCCACAAGAAGGAAUUUAUGCCUGAUAAUAUAAACUUGCUCAUAAGCCCUAGGCAGGAACCUACUCCUGUUAUUUUGCUACAUACAUAUGUUGUCAAAUUCCCUUAUAAAUAUUUCUGUUUGUAUACGUAGAUUACUGUUGUUCUCAGUCUUGACCACAGAAGCUUCUUUCUUUAGUAGUCACAGUUAAAUACUGAGACUCAUAACUGGUCAGAGUGCUAAUAAUAAGUGACUAUUGAGUGUUCAGUGUUAAACAGAACAUUUGUAUCAUCCUCCCUAAGGCUUGGGGAGCAUCCCAGAAGAGGAGGUGGAAAGAAUCAAAAGGCUGGUGGAUGGGAAGAGUGCUUGCUGGGAGACACUUCUGUAUAUGGCACGGCUGUUGUACUCAUGAACUUACUGUAGCCAUUGUUACCUACACAAGACCUGGACACAAUCUCUUCAUACCACCAGGCAGUGCUAAUCAGUCUUGAUUGGUUGUGCACACAUAGAAAAGAGAAGACAUGAGGGUAUAAGGGGGACAUGUUAGGACUAUUUAAGAGGAAUUGGAGGGAGAGGGGAGAGUUAGGGUGGAUAUGAUUAAGAUACACUGUAUACAUGUAUCCAGUUGACAAAGAAUAAAUAAAAGACAUCUUAAAAUAAGUUCUGACUUUCCUUUGUGACCACCAGUGAGAUACAGCCUUAGAAACUCUGACUUGCUUUUGAAUUUUAGCUUCUUUUCAUUUAUAUUCCACACACCUAAACAGAACUUUUGCUUGUAUUUCAAUGUAGAAUUUUCUUCUAUGUGUAUUGCACAACAUGCAUAUUCUGAAUAAAGCACCCAUUCCUACAAAA